rnacentral:rRNA from 1 species
GAACGAGAAAGUGGAGCAAUCCAUGAGUAAAGUGGCGACCGGNGUGAGUAACACGUGACUAACCUACCUCCGAGUGGGGAAUAACUCCGGGAAACCGGGGCUAAUACCGCAUAACAUCGCAAGAUCAAAGCAGCAAUGCGCUUGGAGAGGGGGUCGCGGCUGAUUAGCUAGUUGGCGGGGUAACGGCCCACCAAGGCGAAGAUCGGUAUCCGGCCUGAGAGGGCGCACGGACACACUGGAACUGAAACACGGUCCAGACUCCUACGGGAGGCAGCAGUGGGGAAUUUUGCGCAAUGGGGGAAACCCUGACGCAGCAACGCCGCGUGGAGGAUGAAGCCCUUUGGGGCGUAAACUCCUUUCGACUCGGACGAUAAUGACGGUACGAGUGGAAGAAGCACCGGCUAACUCUGUG